rnacentral:rRNA from 1 species
UAAGGAAUCUUCCACAAUGGGGGCAACCCUGAUGGAGCAAUACCGCGUGCAGGAUGAAGCGUUUCGGCGUGUAAACUGCUUUUAUCACCGAUGAUUAUGACAGUAGGUGAAGAAUAAGGACCGGCUAACUACGUG